rnacentral:rRNA from 1 species
AUUGAACGCUGGCGGCAGGCCUAACACAUGCAAGUCGAGCGGAGCGGCGGACGGGUGAGUAAUGCCUAGGAAUCUGCCUGGUAGUGGGGGAUAACGUCCGGAAACGGGCGCUAAUACCGCAUAAUAUCAGAUGAGCCUAGGGCGGAGUAGCUCGUUGGUGGGGUAAAGGCCUACCAAGGCGACGAUCCGUAAAUGGGCUGAGAGGAUGAGCAGUCAAACUGGAACUGAGACACGUUCCAGAGUCCUACGGGAGGCAGCAGUGGGGAAGAGUGGACAAUGGGCGAAAGCCUGAUCCAGCCAUGCCGCGUGUGUGAAGAAGGUCUUCGGAUUGUAAAGCACUUUAAGUUGGGAGGCGUUACCAACAGAAUAAGCACCGGCUAACUUCGUGCCAGCAGACGCGGUAAUUC